UUUUUUCUGAAAUACCUUGAUUUUUGUUUUGAUUUCAUUCACUUUAUAUUUUUGCUCUGUGGGCAUGAAAUAUUAAGUCAUGUGAUCCUCAAGGCCACUAAUACAGGUGCAAAAAAGAUUAUCUUUUGCUUGAUUUCUCUUAUUGAUAUCUGAGUUAAUAAAUGAUGUUUGCUUGUUUUUAGUUUCAUUUUAUCUUUUUUAUGAUUCUCCUUUAUCUCCUUUUUCUUUUCUUACCUAUUAAAUACAUUGUUUCUGUGAUAGUUAAUGUUAUGUGUCAAUUUGGCUGGGCUACAGUGUCCAGAUAUGUGGUCAAAUGUUAAUCUGAAUAUUUCUGUGAGGCUGUUUCUAGAUGAGAUAAACAUUUGAAUCGACAGACUGAGGACAGCAGAUUGUCUUGCAGUAUGUUUGUGGACCUCAUCCACUCAAGUGAAGGCUUGAAUAAAAAAUAAAUAAAUAAAUAAAUUUUAAAAAGCCUGAUUUCCUCUGGAAAAAAAAAGUGGAAUUCUACCAGUCUGAAGGCCUUUGAACUUGAACCACAACAUCACCUUUUCUCUGAGUCUCUAGCCUCCUGGCUCACCCCACACCACAGAUUUGGGUUCACCAGCCUUCAUAAUUGUAUGAGCCAGUUCCUUAAAAUAAACUUCUCUCUAUAUAUGUGUGUACACAUCCUAUUGGUUCUAUUUCUCUAGAGAGCACUUACUAACACAGUUUUCCUGAGCAGCUAUGUUUUGCUGAUUGUUACUUGUCCCAGUCCUUAUCCCCGUUGCAUCUGUUGGAUAACCUUAAAUGCACUGCCAGUUUUCUUUCAUGACUCACUGGGGUUCACAACUGUUUUCUGGACAACUCUAAGAGGUGGCAAUUUCAAAACUGGUGAAGGCAGUGGGUGAGGCUUGUCUGGCUUGAAAGAGUGAACUGGGCAGGC
rnacentral:lncRNA from 1 species